rnacentral:rRNA from 1 species
UACGGAGGAUGCAAGCGUUGUCCGGAUUUAUUGGGUUUAAAGGGUGCGUAGGCUGUGUUAUAAGUCAGUGGUUAAAUUACUUUGCUUAACAAAGAAGCUGCCAUUGAUACUGUAAUACUUGAAUACUGACUAGGUAGGCGGAAUUGGUAGUGUAGCGGUGAAAUGCUUAGAUAUUACCAGGAACACCGAUAGCGAAAGCAGCUUACUGGACAGUCAUUGACGCUGAUGCACGAAAGUGCGGGUAUCAAACAGG